rnacentral:rRNA from 1 species
AUUGAACGCUGGCAGCAUGCCUUACACAUGCAAGUCGAACGGUAACAGGUUAAGCUGACGAGUGGCGAACGGGUGAGUAAUGUAUCGGAACGUGCCCAGUCGUGGGGGAUAACUGCUCGAAAGAGCAGCUAAUACCGCAUACGACCUGAGGGUGAAAGCGGGGGAUCGCAAGACCUCGCGCGAUUGGAGCGGCCGAUAUCAGAUUAGGUAGUUGGUGAGGUAAAGGCUCACCAAGCCGACGAUCUGUAGCUGGUCUGAGAGGACGACCAGCCACACUGGGACUGAGACACGGCCCAGACUCCUACGGGAGGCAGCAGUGGGGAAUUUUGGACAAUGGGCGCAAGCCUGAUCUAGCCAUGCCGCGUGCGGGAAGAAGGCCUUCGGGUUGUAAACCGCUUUUGUCAGGGAAGAAAAGGUUCUGGCUAAUACCUGGGACUCAUGACGGUACCUGAAGAAUAAGCACCGGCUAACUACGUG